rnacentral:rRNA from 1 species
GAAUAUUGGUCAAUGGACGAAAGUCUGAACCAGCCAUGCCGCGUGCAGGAAGACGGCCCUACGGGUUGUAAACUGCUUUUAUACGGGAAUAAACCCUCGAACGUGUUCGAGGCUGAAGGUACCGUACGAAUCAGCACCGGCUAACUCCGUGCCAGCAGCCGCGGUAAUACGGAGGGUGCAAGCGUUAUCCGGAUUUAUUGGGUUUAAAGGGUGCGUAGGCGGAAUAUUAAGUCAGUGGUGAAAUCUCUCGGCUCAACCGAGAAACUGCCAUUGAUACUGAUAUUCUUGAAUUUAGUUGAAGUAGGCGGAAUGAGGCAUGUAGCGGUGAAAUGCAUAGAUAUGCCUCAGAACACCGAUCGCGAAGGCAGCUUACUAAACUAACAUUGACGCUGAGGCACGAAAGCGUGGGGAGCAAACAG